ACACAUGCAAGCCGAGCGGUAGAAGAUCUUCGGAUCUUUGAGAGCGGCGUACGGGUGCGGAACACGUGUGCAACCUGCCUUUAUCAGGGGGAUAGCCUUUCGAAAGGAAGAUUAAUACCCCAUAAUAUAAUGAGUGGCAUCACUUAUUAUUGAAAACUCCGGUGGAUAGAGAUGGGCACGCGCAAGAUUAGAUAGUUGGUAGGGUAACGGCCUACCAAGUCAGUGAUCUUUAGGGGGCCUGAGAGGGUGAUCCCCCACACUGGUACUGAGACACGGACCAGACUCCUACGGGAGGCAGCAGUGAGGAAUAUUGGACAAUGGGUGAGAGCCUGAUCCAGCCAUCCCGCGUGAAGGACGACGGCCCUAUGGGUUGUAAACUUCUUUUGUAUAGGGAUAAACCUUUCCACGUGUGGAAAGCUGAAGGUACUAUACGAAUAAGCACCGGCUAACUCCGUGCCAGCAGCCGCGGUAAUACGGAGGGUGCAAGCGUUAUCCGGAUUUAUUGGGUUUAAAGGGUCCGUAGGCGGAUCUGUAAGUCAGUGGUGAAAUCUCAUAGCUUAACUAUGAAACUGCCAUUGAUACUGCAGGUCUUGAGUAAAGUAGAAGUGGCUGGAAUAAGUAGUGUAGCGGUGAAAUGCAUAGAUAUUACUU
rnacentral:rRNA from 1 species